AGAGAGAGAGAGAGAGAGAGAGAGAGAGAGAGAGAGAGAGAGAGAGAGAGAGAGAGAGAGAGAGAGAGAGAGAGAGAGAGAGAGAGAGGAUAGUCUGUCUCAGUGCCUAAUUACUUACUCGUACUCAAAUGGAUUGGUGUGGCAUGUGUGUACGUACGUAUGUAUGUAUGUAUGUUCGGAUGUAUGUAUGCAGACAUCGAUUAGUAAGAGAACGUACAUGAGAGAGAGAGAGAGAGAGAGAGAGAGAGAGAGUAGUGGGUUGGUAGGUUAAGUUAGUUUAGUUGUGUGUGUGUGUGUGUGUGUGUGUGUGUGUGUGUGUGUGUGUGUGUGUGUGUGUGAAUGCAUUAACGAGCAUUCACGCACGUCACAGCACAGGUGAAGUAACCAGACUAUUUCACCACUGAGUACAAAAUGGAGCUCACGUACACACAUACAAACAAAUAGAUGUGUUAAUGUUAAUGUUGACACCUUACAUGGCAACACUGCAGCGGCCCCCUUGCGGCUAUUGGCGGAAACACUGAGCGAAAUAGCCUUACUGUUCAGCGCUGCGGCGGUAUACAUACAUAUAUACAUAGUAGACAGGCUGGCGAUACAUAGAUACAGAUAUAUACAGAGGCUGGCAUAUACUGAAGCCAUUCCCGAAGCUUUGUUACUUUAUACAUGUUGCUUCGAAGCGUCACGAGUCCUUGGGUUCGAAACAUGAGCAUUAGCGAGAUGUUAGGUAGAAAAAUACACUUUAUAUUCCUUGUGUGUGUGUGUGUGUGUGUGUGUGUGUGUGUGUCGGGAAGUCAUCAAACACACUGCAUUUCGUUUAUUCUGAGUGAGUGAGUGAGUGAGUGAGUCAUUUGGUUCGAGACUUCCAAGCAAACCCCCCACGAGACAUGACCGAGCUGCUUCAAAUGAUUCAAAUGUUUCAUCCAUCUGGCUGUUUGUGUUCGAAGCUGUUUCAUUCGCGAACUUUUGAUGUCGUCUGCGUCCCACAAAGGGAAUAACGUACAGUGCGAGUGUGUGUGUGUGUGUGUGUGUGUGUGUGUGUGUGUGUGUGUGCAAGGGGAGGGGGGGAAGGAUAAAGAGUUUUAGCUAUGUCUGUACGUGGAGAUUAAACGAUAUACUCUUGCCACACACACACACGAGAGAGAGAGAGAGAGAGAGAGAGAGAGAGAGAGAGAGAGAGAGAAUAUUUCAUAACGUCAUUAAACACACGAUUCCAGUUAAUUAUUUUCCUCUCACUCACUUUCACUCUCUCCCACUCUAUCAAGUUUGGCCGACUGUUAUUGGAUUAGCACACACACACACACACACACACACACACACACACACACACACACACACACACACACACACACACA